CUUGACUUUCCUGACCAAUCGUAGAAGAGUCUCCUUUGAAAUUGCAGGAGAAUUAACGAAUCAGAGAGCGUGCCAGUCGGGGUCCAAGCCGCCCUUACCAGUUAACUAGGUCGGCCCCCUUUAAGCCUCUGUCUCAGUUAGCGUCGCUCCUGCGGGGACGCGUCCACUGUGGAGGCCAGUUCGUUCUCGCCGGAGAAGGCCCUGGUCUGCCUCUCUGGCCUCUCCGCAGUCUCGGCGGCUACCUAUCGAUUUACCUUGGGGCGCCGCCGCCAAGGAAUCCUAACAGGAAGGCCAGGAAUCUGGACCUGAGCUGUGAGUUUUUGCCCCCUCGAAUGUCUGAAUUUGCCCAUCUACGUUUGUGUGUGCUGGAGUAG
rnacentral:lncRNA from 1 species